ACCCGGGGACAGAAUGCAGUUGAUUUCAGCCAACACCUCUCAAACCUCACUUUUCCACGUAAGUCUUCGUGGUUUUGCUUUUUCUGUGGACAUUUUGUUCUCUUGCUUACUUAAGAGUUUUUCUUUAAAUGGAUUCACGUUUUUUCAAAACUUUAUUUUUAAAGGACUCUUCAGCCAUUUUACAAAAUAUCUGGCACGUACUUUUCAAAAAUGCUAAGAUGGCAAAAUACCAAGACUCGAGAACUGUUGCCAGUUAAAGGAGCUAAAGAGACGCGGCAACCGAAUGCAAAGUGUGAGCUGGGGUUUUACUGGGACGGAGGGUGAAAUCAGGAUGAGGUCUCCAGAUUAGGUAACAGUACUGUGUCUGUGUCAACUCCCUGAUUUUGACAAGCGUACUGUAGUUAUGUAAGAAAAUGUUCCUGCUUUUAGGAAAUAUACACUAAAGUAUUGAUUUUUUUUUUUUUGGGUGAGGAAGAUUGGCCCUGAGCUAACAUCCGUGCCCAUCUUCCUUUAUUUUGUAUGUGAGAGGCCACCACGGCGUGGCUUGAUGAGCUGUGCGCAGGUCCACACGAGGGAGCCGAACCUGCAAACCCCAGGCCACCAAAGUAGAGUGGGCAACCUGACCACUCCAUCACCGGGCUGGCCCCAAGAAAACCUGUUUUUAGAUGGUUCAGAAAAAAAUAAUCUCUGUGCAUGUGUGCGUGUGGGUAGGUAGUGGGGAGAAAAAGAGAGAGAGAGAGAAAGUAGAAAAAUGUUAAUACUAGGGAAUCUGGAUAAAGGAUAUCCAGGAAUUCUUUGUAUGACUUUUGCAACUUUUCUCUAAGUCUGAAAUUGUUUUAAAAUUUAAAACACAUUUAAAAGAAACUUUACGUUGCUGUUAUAAGCGGGAAACCAGCACCGCUUGCUCAGAAUUGAAGGUGAUUCUAAAAUGAAGCAAUGCUCUUACUCUUGCUGGUACACUGGUCUGCUAGGUCUGGGCCCUAGACCGCCUGUUCUUGGCUCUGGGUGCGGAUGGGCGAGGGCGGGGAGGCGUCAAGACGUCCUGGCGCCAGCCCAAGAUGUUCUCCUUGAUGUCAUGAGAAAGACUGGCACGGAGUAGAAAAGGCCAUCGCUUUCUCAUGAUGUGAUCCGAUGAUAUUUAGAGUCCUGUCCUAUGGGUACGAGCUCAGGGACAUUCAUUUCAUGUCAGUUUAACGGGCACCCUGGGGCCAGGCACGUUAUGGAGCCCUGGCACCCAGAGAGGACGAGGUCUCCGCCCUCAGGAAGCUCACGAGCUGGGCAGAGACACUUAUGGGCAGGACUGGGGUGGAUGUGUGUCCAGGUAGAGCUCGCUUCUCCGAAUCCCGACGCUCCUGGGGUCCCUUGGAGUCCAGAGGUGAUGACCCUGGGGCUAGCAGGUGGCCCGGGAGCAGGCACACAGCAGGAACAGCUCAGAGCUGGCAAAGAAAAGAGAACAUUAUCAGUGUGUGAGAAAUGAGGCGGCAGGACCCAGCCCCACAGCAGUUCACAUCUGGACGAUGGAACAGCCUGAGCCAACGUGGUCUUCAGUGUCCCUUCUGAUGCCUCCCGGUACCCACACUCGUCCUGCUCCCUGCUUGAACUGCAAGCCAGGCUUUCUCCCUCAUCUUUCUUUUUUUUUUUUGUUUGAGGAAGAUUAGCCCUGAGCUAACUGCUGCCAAUCCUCCUCUUUUUGCUGAGGAAGACUGGCCCUGAGCUAACAUCCAUGCCCAUCUUCCUCUGCUUUAUAUGUGGGACACCUACCACAGCAUGGAGUGCCAAGCAGUGCCAUGUCCACACCCGGGAUCCGAACCGGCGAACCCCGGGCUGCCGAGAAGCGGAACGUGCGCACUUAACCGCUGCACCACCGGGCCGGCCCCUCUUCCCCAUCUUUCUUGUGGCUGGGGUUAUGGGUUUCGGGAAGAAAACCACAGAGGUAAAGGGCCGGUCUCGUGACAUCCUGUCAAUGGUCCAUCCCUCAACAUGACUGCCCACCGCUGAUGCUGACCUUGGUCACCUGGCUGAUGCCAACAAAUAUUGUUGAACGCUAGAUGAAGGAUCUCGUCACCCGCUGGGAAUGACAAGAUUUACACAUCCCAAGCAGAGGACCACAUAGAAAUGGAGAGGCAGACUGGAAGACGCCUCUAAACAUCCCCUUGAUGCUGACUGAAUCACCCACAUGAGCGGAUACAGGAGCGCUCAAGCUACCACUGCCUGCCACCCACCUUCCUAGCAGGUGUGCUUGUGCUGUUACUUUGCUACUUGAUAAAGCAUUGUUCUAUCAGGAUGACCGGGAAGUAGAAACACAAAGGGCCGGUUGCCACGAGCAGAAGGUGGGUCUCACUCAUGGAAUACAGGUAAGGCAACGUGGAAAUCCCUGACCCCCUUUGCUCUGGGAAGCUCUCAGGAAAAUCUUUGAAAUUGGUCCUGAGGUCCCCCUUGCCACCUCAGGGCAUGGUUUUUCCUGUUGCUGGGAAAGGAUGGAAUGAAGAGGCCCCGAGUGGCUUUUGAGUCAGGUACAACCGCCAUACGUGCCCUGGGAGAACCAGAUUCUACAGCUUUUAUGCAGCAUCGGAAGGUCUUUGGCUAAUUGUCUCUGUGUUUGAGGAGUACGCUUGCUUGUUCCUUUAAUGUGUGCUCCUAUAAAUAGAUUCUGCUGCCACCUGAACAUCUGUGUCCCAAAAAGGGCUUUUUUUAAGUUGUAAAUGGUUGUCACCAUCAUCCCUCAUUUCUGCCCCAAUUUAAAACAACGAAGGCACUCAGCUUUGCUCCUCCCCCCACCCCCCUGCUGCAGCACAUCCGCCG
ensembl:lncRNA